rnacentral:rRNA from 1 species
AGUGAACGCUGGCGGUAGGCCUAACACAUGCAAGUCGAACGGCAGCACAGUAAGAGCUUGCUCUUACGGGUGGCGAGUGGCGGACGGGUGAGGAAUACAUCGGAAUCUACUUUUUCGGGGGGGAUAACGUAGGGAAACUUACGCUAAUACCGCAUACGACCUACGGGUGAAAGCAGGGGAUCUUCGGACCUUGCGCGAUUGAAUGAGCCGAUGUCGGAUUAGCUAGUUGGCGGGGUAAAGGCCCACCAAGGCGACGAUCCGUAGCUGGUCUGAGAGGAUGAUCGGCCACACUGGAACUGAGACACGGUCCAGACUCCUACGGGAGGCAGCAGUGGGGAAUAUUGGACAAUGGGCGCAAGCCUGAUCCAGCCAUACCGCGUGGGUGAAGAAGGCCUUCGGGUUGUAAAGCCCUUUUGUUGGGAAAGAAAAGCAGCAGGUUAAUACCCCGCUGUUCUGACGGUACCCAAAGAAUAAGCACCGGCUAACUUCGUG